GCUAAGCCCGUGCUCUCAGCGGCGGUAUUACUGAGGGUCCGGGCGUUAAUCGGAAUUACGGGGCGUAAAGCGUGCGCAGGCGGUUUGUUAAGCGAGAUGUGAAAGCCCUGGGCUCAACCUAGGAAUAGCAUUUCGAACUGGCGAACUAGAGUCGUGUAGAGGGGGGUAGAAUUCCAGGUGUAGCGGUGAAAUGCGUAGAGAUCUGGAGGAAUACCGGUGGCGAAGGCGGCCCCCUGGACAAAGACUGACGCUCAUGCACGAAAGCGUGGGGAGCAAACAGGAUUAGAUACCCGGGUAGUU
rnacentral:rRNA from 1 species